CGAGCAGGUCUGCCUCGCCAAAGUAUUCGCCGUCGCCCAAUAGAGCAAUCCGUAGGUCUUCGCCGUGUGAACCUUUGCUGACAACUUCUGCCUGUCCGCUGGCAACGAUGAAGAAACGCUGUUUGUCCUUACCCUCUUCUACGAAGUAUUUGUCAACAUCUACCUCUUUUGUCUCGAAAGAACUUACCAGACGGUUCAGUAUCUCGUCGUCGAACUCUGAGAACAGCGGAAUAGCCUUCAGGUUCUUUGCUGUAAAUGAUGGUACGCCGUUUACAUACUGUAUUGGCAGACGGUCGUUCUUACGCAGUUCCACCUUUGUGCGGUUCACGCGGAAAGUACCGCCGCUGACCUGUACCCAUGGUAGGAGUUUUAGCAAGAGUCUUGGGGUGAUGGAGCCCAUCUGUGGGGCGGUCUUGGUAGUGGUAGCCAGUCUUCUGGCAGUAGCAG
rnacentral:antisense_RNA from 1 species